rnacentral:ncRNA from 2 species
AGUUUAAUAAAAGCAUUAGGUGCCCAAUAGGGAGAAUAGGGAAUAAAGUGAAAAACUUUAGCGGACCCGCCACUGUAUAAGGGAGUGUCAUCGUAAAUGCCACUAGCGAAUCGCUGGGAAGGCACGAUGAUAUGUUGAGCUUGAGCCAGGAGACCUGCCUACUUGCUUCGGAAGUA